rnacentral:misc_RNA from 1 species
GAUAGGUGAGAUGCAUACGCAACCAAAAGUGUAUAAUAUCAAUUUACUACCUCGCAAUAUAAUUUUAUACAAUGUAUAAUAAGAUUUAAAGAUGUAGCUCAUCAACAUUUUCAUAGGGGAUUUUUAAAAUUAAGUAUUGAAAAAUAAAAUAUUUAUAUUAUAAUAUAAAUAAGUCAACGACCAUGCGUGGACAGUAAAACGAAGUACAUGCGAAUGUAGUAGCCGUUUACUAUGAGACUAGGCAUUAUAAUUGAAUAUCAUAGUAUAAAUUGCCAUGAGAGUAGAAGCUUCAGUUUAUGAAGACUUCGAAAUCAUGGUUUUUUAUUUUUAAAGUGAAAUUUUAGUUCAUAGUAAAUAUAUAUAUGUUUUUAAUUAGACUAAAUCAUAGCAUUAAAUUUUUUUAGAUGAAGUAAGCGAUAUUACGAAAUGAUAUAUAGAACAUUUCAGUUAUAACAGUAUACGAAGUAAUCAUCUUCGUUUAACGGACAAUAGUUAAUAAUCAGUUAAUUUUAAAUUCAAUUAUAGAUUAUUUGUGAUAAUACAAACAUUAUUUUUGAAGAUUUGAUUAAAGUCGUUUUUAUUUUUACAGAGAAAAGAUUGAGUAUCGGUAAUUUUAUCAUAUUGUUCGAAUAUAAAGGGAACUAUUUAAAGGUAAUGAAGGUUGCGCCAAAAUGACCGGUUUUCAGCAGCAUAAAUGAAUAAAUUGU